rnacentral:rRNA from 1 species
AACGAACGCUGGCGGCAUGCCUAACACAUGCAAGUCGAACGAGACCUUCGGGUCUAGUGGCGCACGGGUGCGUAACGCGUGGGAACCUGCCCUUAGGUUCGGAAUAACUCCCCGAAAGGGGUGCUAAUACCGGAUACUGUCUUCGGACCAACGAUUUAUCGCCUUUGGAUGGGCCCGCGUUGGAUUAGCUAGUUGGUAGGGUAAAAGCCUACCAAGGCGACGAUCCAUAGCUGGUCUGAGAGGAUGAUCAGCCACACUGGGACUGAGACACGGCCCAGACUCCUACGGGAGGCAGCAGUGGGGAAUAUUGGACAAUGGGCGAAAGCCUGAUCCAGCAAUGCCGCGUGAGUGAUGAAGGCCUUAGGGUUGUAAAGCUCUUUUACCCGGGAUGAUAAUGACAGUACCGGGAGAAUAAGCUCCGGCUAACUCCGUG